UAUAAAUAGGUCAGUUAAUCCUGCCCAAUUUUUUAUAAAUGUUCUUUUCAAACUACUAACAUGAUUAGCCAUGAUUGCAUUUUGGCCCAAGUGAAGGCCUAUUCUUACUUUUUGAUGGCUCACUCAUCUUUACAAGGUUAAAUAGCCUUCAUUGCUUGAAAGCUUCCCACAAGUUUUACUUUUCUUAAUCACAUUAUUCCAACUUCAAUAACUUCAUAUUUACAUUAUUAAUAGACUGUCAAAGUGUAUUGAUGUCUGCAUCAGUUUUGAAAAUCCCUUAAGAUUUUCUUUGCAUUGGAUCUAGAGAAAUCAACCCAUUUGGAGAAGAGUGUGAGCAAAAGUGACAGCCCUGCUCUCUUGGCCAUGGAAUUACCAAUGCAUGCACUUAGAUGCACAGGUUGGAAAUAAAAUAGGUUCUGAAGAACGGAACUUCCACUCCUUUCCCGGGAAGACAAUUCUCCGGUGUAGUCCCUCAAAUUAUUUAAGUGUUUGUCAUUUUUCCAUCGUAACACUAAAUACCUU
rnacentral:lncRNA from 1 species